GUUUUUUUAGUAUAUUGAGUACACUUGCCUUCCAAGCAAGAAGAUUAGACUUACUUAAAAAAGACA
rnacentral:tRNA from 1 species